AAAAAAUUAGUUAAAAUCAAUAUAACAUUAACUUGUCAAGUUAAAAUUAUUAUCCUAUUAAUAUUUUUUA
rnacentral:tRNA from 1 species